GGCGGCGUGCUUAACACAUGCAAGUCGAACGAUGAAGCCCUUCGGGGUGGAUUAGUGGCGAACGGGUGAGUAACACGUGGGCAAUCUGCCCUUCACUCUGGGACAAGCCCUGGAAACGGGGUCUAAUACCGGAUAACACUCCGCCUGCAUGGGUGGGGGUUAAAAGCUCCGGCGGUGAAGGAUGAGCCCGCGGCCUAUCAGCUUGUUGGUGAGGUAGUGGCUCACCAAGGCGACGACGGGUAGCCGGCCUGAGAGGGCGACCGGCCACACUGGGACUGAGACACGGCCCAGACUCCUACGGGAGGCAGCAGUGGGGAAUAUUGCACAAUGGGCGAAAGCCUGAUGCAGCGACGCCGCGUGAGGGAUGACGGCCUUCGGGUUGUAAACCUCUUUCAGCAGGGAAGAAGCGAAAGUGACGGUACCUGCAGAAGAAGCGCCGGCUAACUACGUGCCAGCAGCCGCGGUAAUACGUAGGGCGCAAGCGUUGUCCGGAAUUAUUGGGCGUAAAGAGCUCGUAGGCGGCUUGUCACGUCGAUUGUGAAAGCCCGGGGCUUAACCCCGGGUCUGCAGUCGAUACGGGCUAGCUAGAGUGUGGUAGGGGAGAUCGGAAUUCCUGGUGUAGCGGUGAAAUGCGCAGAUAUCAGGAGGAACACCGGUGGCGAAGGCGGAUCUCUGGGCCAUUACUGACGCUGAGGAGCGAAAGCGUGGGGAGCGAACAGGAUUAGAUACCCUGGUAGUCCACGCCGUAAACGGUGGGCACUAGGUGUUGGCGACAUUCCACGUCGUCGGUGCCGCAGCUAACGCAUUAAGUGCCCCGCCUGGGGAGUACGGCCGC
rnacentral:rRNA from 1 species